rnacentral:rRNA from 3 species
GGGUUGUGAGGUUAAGCGACUAAGCGUACACGGUGGAUGCCCUGGCAGUCAGAGGCGAUGAAGGACGUGCUAAUCUGCGAUAAGCGUCGGUAAGGUGAUAUGAACCGUUAUAACCGGCGAUUUCCGAAUGGGGAAACCCAGUGUGUUUCGACACACUAUCAUUAACUGAAUCCAUAGGUUAAUGAGGCGAACCGGGGGAACUGAAACAUCUAAGUACCCCGAGGAAAAGAAAUCAACCGAGAUUCCCCCAGUAGCGGCGAGCGAACGGGGAGCAGCCCAGAGCCUGAAUCAGUGUGUGUGUUAGUGGAAGCGUCUGGAAAGGCGCGCGAUACAGGGUGACAGCCCCGUACACAAAAAUGCACAUGCUGUGAGCUCGAUGAGUAGGGCGGGACACGUGGUAUCCUGUCUGAAUAUGGGGGGACCAUCCUCCAAGGCUAAAUACUCCUGACUGACCGAUAGUGAACCAGUACCGUGAGGGAAAGGCGAAAAGAACCCCGGCGAGGGGAGUGAAAAAGAACCUGAAACCGUGUACGUACAAGCAGUGGGAGCACGCUUAGGCGUGUGACUGCGUACCUUUUGUAUAAUGGGUCAGCGACUUAUAUUCUGUAGCAAGGUUAACCGAAUAGGGGAGCCGAAGGGAAACCGAGUCUUAACUGGGCGUUAAGUUGCAGGGUAUAGACCCGAAACCCGGUGAUCUAGCCAUGGGCAGGUUGAAGGUUGGGUAACACUAACUGGAGGACCGAACCGACUAAUGUUGAAAAAUUAGCGGAUGACUUGUGGCUGGGGGUGAAAGGCCAAUCAAACCGGGAGAUAGCUGGUUCUCCCCGAAAGCUAUUUAGGUAGCGCCUCGUGAAUUCAUCUCCGGGGGUAGAGCACUGUUUCGGCAAGGGGGUCAUCCCGACUUACCAACCCGAUGCAAACUGCGAAUACCGGAGAAUGUUAUCACGGGAGACACACGGCGGGUGCUAACGUCCGUCGUGAAGAGGGAAACAACCCAGACCGCCAGCUAAGGUCCCAAAGUCAUGGUUAAGUGGGAAACGAUGUGGGAAGGCCCAGACAGCCAGGAUGUUGGCUUAGAAGCAGCCAUCAUUUAAAGAAAGCGUAAUAGCUCACUGGUCGAGUCGGCCUGCGCGGAAGAUGUAACGGGGCUAAACCAUGCACCGAAGCUGCGGCAGCGACGCUUAUGCGUUGUUGGGUAGGGGAGCGUUCUGUAAGCCUGCGAAGGUGUGCUGUGAGGCAUGCUGGAGGUAUCAGAAGUGCGAAUGCUGACAUAAGUAACGAUAAAGCGGGUGAAAAGCCCGCUCGCCGGAAGACCAAGGGUUCCUGUCCAACGUUAAUCGGGGCAGGGUGAGUCGACCCCUAAGGCGAGGCCGAAAGGCGUAGUCGAUGGGAAACAGGUUAAUAUUCCUGUACUUGGUGUUACUGCGAAGGGGGGACGGAGAAGGCUAUGUUGGCCGGGCGACGGUUGUCCCGGUUUAAGCGUGUAGGCUGGUUUUCCAGGCAAAUCCGGAAAAUCAAGGCUGAGGCGUGAUGACGAGGCACUACGGUGCUGAAGCAACAAAUGCCCUGCUUCCAGGAAAAGCCUCUAAGCAUCAGGUAACAUCAAAUCGUACCCCAAACCGACACAGGUGGUCAGGUAGAGAAUACCAAGGCGCUUGAGAGAACUCGGGUGAAGGAACUAGGCAAAAUGGUGCCGUAACUUCGGGAGAAGGCACGCUGAUAUGUAGGUGAAGCGACUUGCUCGUGGAGCUGAAAUCAGUCGAAGAUACCAGCUGGCUGCAACUGUUUAUUAAAAACACAGCACUGUGCAAACACGAAAGUGGACGUAUACGGUGUGACGCCUGCCCGGUGCCGGAAGGUUAAUUGAUGGGGUUAGCGCAAGCGAAGCUCUUGAUCGAAGCCCCGGUAAACGGCGGCCGUAACUAUAACGGUCCUAAGGUAGCGAAAUUCCUUGUCGGGUAAGUUCCGACCUGCACGAAUGGCGUAAUGAUGGCCAGGCUGUCUCCACCCGAGACUCAGUGAAAUUGAACUCGCUGUGAAGAUGCAGUGUACCCGCGGCAAGACGGAAAGACCCCGUGAACCUUUACUAUAGCUUGACACUGAACAUUGAGCCUUGAUGUGUAGGAUAGGUGGGAGGCUUAGAAGUGUGGACGCCAGUCUGCAUGGAGCCGACCUUGAAAUACCACCCUUUAAUGUUUGAUGUUCUAACGUUGACCCGUAAUCCGGGUUGCGGACAGUGUCUGGUGGGUAGUUUGACUGGGGCGGUCUCCUCCUAAAGAGUAACGGAGGAGCACGAAGGUUGGCUAAUCCUGGUCGGACAUCAGGAGGUUAGUGCAAUGGCAUAAGCCAGCUUGACUGCGAGCGUGACGGCGCGAGCAGGUGCGAAAGCAGGUCAUAGUGAUCCGGUGGUUCUGAAUGGAAGGGCCAUCGCUCAACGGAUAAAAGGUACUCCGGGGAUAACAGGCUGAUACCGCCCAAGAGUUCAUAUCGACGGCGGUGUUUGGCACCUCGAUGUCGGCUCAUCACAUCCUGGGGCUGAAGUAGGUCCCAAGGGUGAUGCUGUUCGCCAUUUAAAGUGGUACGCGAGCUGGGUUUAGAACGUCGUGAGACAGUUCGGUCCCUAUCUGCCGUGGGCGCUGGAGAACUGAGGGGGGCUGCUCCUAGUACGAGAGGACCGGAGUGGACGCAUCACUGGUGUUCGGGUUGUCAUGCCAAUGGCACUGCCCGGUAGCUAAAUGCGGAAGAGAUAAGUGCUGAAAGCAUCUAAGCACGAAACUUGCCCCGAGAUGAGUUCUCCCUGACCCUUUAAGGGUCCUGAAGGAACGUUGAAGACGACGACGUUGAUAGGCCGGGUGUGUAAGCGCAGCGAUGCGUUGAGCUAACCGGUACUAAUGAACCGUGAGGCUUAACCUUACAACGCCGAAGCUGUU